GCCACGUGACAUUCCCGCAGCUUC
rnacentral:miRNA from 1 species